AUUGAACGCUAGCGGGAUGCUUUACACAUGCAAGUCGAACGGGGUGGCGGACGGGUGAGUAAUAUAUCGGAACGUGCCCAGGAGAUGGGGAUCACUACUCUUAAGAGUUGCUACUAACGCAUAGUGUGGGCGCGGCCGGUAUCGGAUGAGCUAGUUGGAGGGGUAACGGAUCAACAAGGCAACGAACCGGAGCUGGUUUGAGAGGAGGACCAGCCACACUGGGACUGAGACACGGCCCAGACUCCUACGGGAGGCAGCAGUGGGGAAUUUUGGACAAUGGGGGAAACCCUGAUCCAGCCAUCCCGCGUGGAUGAUGAAGGCCUUCGGGUUGUAAAGUACUUUUGGCAGAGAAGCGGUAUCUGCAGAAUAAGCACCGGCUAACUACGUGCCAGCAGCCGCGGUAAUAC
rnacentral:rRNA from 1 species